AUCCCUUGACAUCCUGCGAACUUUCUAGAGAUAGCUUUGUGCCUUCGGGAGCUCUGAGACAGGUGCUGCAUGGCUGUCGUCAGCUCGUGUUGUGAAAUGUUGGGUUAAGUCCCGUAACGAGCGCAACCCUUGUCCUUAUUUGCCAGCACGUAAUGGUGGGAACUCUAAGGAGACUGCCGGUGACAAACCGGAGGAAGGUGGGGACGACGUCAAGUCAUCAUGGCCCUUACGAGUUGGGCUACACACGUGCUACAAUGGCCGGUACAGAGGGCUGCAAACCUGCGAAGGUAAGCUAAUCUCACAAAACCGGUCGUAGUCCGGAUUGGAGUCUGCAACUCGACUCCAUGAAGUCGGAAUCGCUAGUAAUCGUGGAUCAGAAUGCCACGGUGAAUACGUUCCCGGGCCU
rnacentral:rRNA from 1 species